rnacentral:misc_RNA from 1 species
UCAAACCAAAGUCAAAAUUAGACCAAAUAACUUGAAAAUCAAGUCUAAAUUAAAAAACCCAUCAAAACUAAAAAAUUGAUCGGUUCGAACAGAAUCGAAUCGAAAUAGAGCGGUUCAGUUCGAUUUUUUAUUCAUUUCGAUUCAGUUUGGUUUAUAAAAUAUGGUAAUUCGGUUAAUUUGAUUUUGAUAAUUCGGUUUGGUUCGGUUCGGUUUGAACCAAAUGCUCAGCCCUAGUGCUAUGAUAGGGAGAAUGGAGUUUGUGGACAAACUCUAUGUUGCUUCCAUUAACAAACAAGCUUCAAA